rnacentral:misc_RNA from 1 species
GAUGAAGAACGCAGUGAAAUGCGAUAAGUAAUGUGAAUUGCAGAAUUCAGUGAAUCAUCGAAUCUUUGAACGCACAUUGCGCCCGCCAGUAUUCUGGCGGGCAUGCCUGUUCGAGCGUCAUUACAACCCUCAGGCCCCCGGGCCUGGCGUUGGGGAUCGGCGGAGCCCCCCGUGGGCACACGCCGUCCCCCAAAUACAGUGGCGGUCCCGCCGCAGCUUCCAUCGCGUAGUAGCUAACACCUCGCGACUGGAGAGCGGCGCGGCCACGCCGUAAAACACCCAACUCUUCUGAAGUUGACCUCGAAUCAGGUAGGAAUACCCGCUGAACUAAAGCAUAUCAAUAAGCGGAGGA